AAAGUAACAAAAGAGCUGUAAAGUUCAGGUAGAUUUUUAGCGACUUGAACCCAUGUUUUAAAGAUUUGAGCUAGGCUUGAGACGUCACUAUGUCAACAUGGAAUUUAUAUGUCGAAAGCAUAAUGUCAUUAUUGUCCGUACACUGAAUGCGACACCUAAACAAUUGAAAAUUAAUAAGGACUUGUCAAUCAGCAAACAUAUAGAUAUCUUAAUCAUUUCCCUCCUCUAUGACAAUUAGCAAUUUCAUAAAAAUGAACGAACAAAAUAGCUUAUGAUACAUUAUGAAAAGAUAUGAGAUCACAAAUAAAUCAUUGAGAAACUUUUGACCAACACUCGACAAGUAUUCAUAGUUGUUUAUGCAACGUAAUGAAUAGGUAUAAUAAAUUAAUAGAUAUGGGCAAAACAACCAUCACUAUGCUAAAAAAUUCGUAACUGAAGCCACCAUUUUUACCUAGGACUCACAUUCCAAAAUGGAUCUCUUACGUCGUUGUGAGCUAUUGGUAGGAAUACUUUGAUAAUCCUGAAUACCAGUAGAUGUUAACUGAAAAGCCAACUCUGAUUCUGCAGAAUGAGCUGGUGGCUGCUUUGCCAUGAAUGCAUAGCGCAGAAGCUGAUGAGAGGGACGACUCUGUCCAUCUUUUGAUUCUUCAGUUGAAUGCCUACUGUAAAGAAUGAGCCGAUAAGAUAGAUUAUCUAACCAAUUAGUGCUGAGAAGCGGUAUCAACUUAGCACCUAUCCCACUAACAACUUUUGAAGUCAUCUGGGUGGUAACAAAGAUAGCCACAUAACAAGAGGAUGUAAUUUUGCUUAACAAAGAACUGAUUGUACCGAUUGCCUUUUUUCUGCGGUUUAUUGUUGUUUUGGUAGAGGAGUUAUGAAAUGCAAAAUUCGAGUCGUCUUUACUCGAGAACUCAUUUUCUUUGUUUAACGUCAAAGUGUUUUCUUUUUGAGAUGAAUCUGAAAGGGAGCUUUUUUUGCUGGUAUUACGACGAAGACGUAGAUAAGCAUAAUCUUCUGGACUGGUUGGAUAUGCAAGUUGAAUAGGCAUUGAUAGGUUGUCAAUAAUUAAUAAUCCAAUUUCUUUAAGAUGUUUUUCUUGAUCGAAAUUUCGUAAAAAAGCUAGAAUA